AAAGAGUCCCUCCCGACUGUUUACCAAAAACACAGCACUCUGCUAACUCGUAAGAGGAUGUAUAGGGUGUGACGCCUGCCCGGUGCUCGAAGGUUAAUUGAUGGGGUUAGCAUUAGCGAAGCUCUUGAUCGAAGCCCGAGUAAACGGCGGCCGUAACUAUAACGGUCCUAAGGUAGCGAAAUUCCUUGUCGGUUAAAUACCGACCUGCAUGAAUGGCGUAACGAGAUGGGAGCUGUCUCAAAGAGGGAUCCAGUGAAAUUGUAGUGGAGGUGAAAAUUCCUCCUACCCGCGGCAAGACGGAAAGACCCCGUGGACCUUUACUACAGCUUGACACUGCUACUUGGAUAAGAAUGUGCAGGAUAGGUGGGAGGCUUUGAGUAUAUGACGCCAGUUGUAUAUGAGCCAUUGUUGAGAUACCACUCUUUCUUAUUUGGGUAGCUAACCAGCUUGAGUUAUCCUCAAGUGGGACAAUGUCUGGUGGGUAGUUUGACUGGGGCGGUCGCCUCCCAAAUAAUAACGGAGGCUUACAAAGGUUGGCUCAGAACGGUUGGAAAUCGUUCGUAGAGUAUAAAGGUAUAAGCCAGCUUAACUGCAAGACAUACAAGUCAAGCAGAGACGAAAGUCGGUCUUAGUGAUCCGGUGGUUCUGUGUGGAAGGGCCAUCGCUCAAAGGAUAAAAGGUACCCCGGGGAUAACAGGCUGAUCUCCCCCAAGAGCUCACAUCGACGGGGAGGUUUGGCACCUCGAUGUCGGCUCAUCGCAUCCUGGGGCUGGAGCAGGUCCCAAGGGUAUGGCUGUUCGCCAUUUAAAGCGGUACGCGAGCUGGGUUCAGAACGUCGUGAGACAGUUCGGUCCCUAUCUGCCGUGGGCGUAAGAAGAUUGAAGAGAUUUGACCCUAGUACGAGAGGACCGGGUUGAACAAACCACUGGUGUAGCUGUUGUUCUGCCAAGAGCAUCGCAGCGUAGCUAAGUUUGGAAAGGAUAAACGCUGAAAGCAUCUAAGCGUGAAGCCAACUCUAAGAUGAAUCUUCUCUAAGCUCUCUAGAAGACUACUAGUUUGAUAGGCUGGGUGUGUAAUGGAUGAAAGUCCUUUAGCUGACCAGUACUAAUAGAGCGUUUGGCUUAUCUUU
rnacentral:rRNA from 1 species